UGAGGAGAUUAUUUUAGAUUAUCUGUGUGGGUCCUGAAUCCAAUGACAAGUAUUCUCCCUCUCUUUUUUUUUUUUUUUUGCAUUUUAGGUUUUGGGGUACAUGUGAAGAACAUGCAAGAUUGUUGCAUAGGUACACACGUGCCAGUGUGAUUUGCUGCCUUCCUCCCCUUCACCUAUAGCUGGCAUUUCUCCCUGUGCUAUCUGUCCCCAACUCCCCACCCUGCACUGCCCCUCCCCUAUUUCCCCCUAACAGACCCCAGUGUGUAGUGCUCCCCUCCCUUUGCCCAUGUGUUCUCAUUGUUCAUGAUAAGUAUUCUUUAAGAGAAUUCCUUAAGACUCAUAGAGGAGAAGACAGACAGAAGAGGAGGAGGCAGUGUGACCACAGAGGCUAAGACUGAAAUGAUGUGGCACAAGUCAAGAAAUACCUGUAGUGACAGAAGCUGGAAGAAGUAAAGUAUGGAUUCUCUCCUAGAGCCUCCAAAGAAAGUGUGGUCCUGAGGACAUCUGUUCUCCAUAACUGUUGGCUCAUUUGUGAUUGCUUCUUCAUGACAUGCUGGAAGCUGCAUGCAUUUUCUAAAGCAAUACUGUGUCUCUAAGGGUAUCCUCAAAAGACAACUGCAAGAGGAGCGCAUCCGUGGCACAACUUUGAUUGGUUCACAUGAUCGUUCGCUCUGCCUGAAAGUAGAUAUGACAUGAGAUUAAGUGUGGAAGAAGUGUGUGGGUCCACAUUGAACAUCUAUAGAUUUUCACAGUGGCACGUGGGUCAGAUGGGCUCUCCUCUGUUACGACCUACUUUUGAUGUGUCAUCUUUCACCACAAAGCCCAGAAAGGUAAAAGCUUCCCAUAUAUUUUUGGAUCUUGAAUUGCACAUGUAUGGUGUGUAUUCCUUCAAUCAUAUGCAUUUAGACAACACGUGAGUUUGGAAGCUAGUGAUAAGAGGAGAUAAGCAUCUGCAUAUGGGUCAUUUCGUUUGCUGGAGGAUGUAGGCUGGCCAGUGUGAUUCUGAGACCAGUAGUUUUGGUAUUACCUUCCUUAACUCUGAAUUAUAGUUUAGAUGGUGUGUUCCUGGAGCCAACAGUAGUUGCUUCUCCACCUUCCUAAUUGUUAAAAUCUGGAAUUACUUUUAAAUGUGAACAUAUUGAAUAAAAUUAAGUGCAAGAACUCAAAUGACUGGAUCUUUUUUGCAUGUUGCUUUAACACUUUGCUUUUCAGUGGGUGGCACGAGAUGAGUUUCUUAUGUUCCCACUCUUUGUAUUUUUCCUGAAAUUUUAUUUGUCUCAUAUUUAUUUGUUUAGGUAAAUUUUACCAAGUGUUGAUGCAGCUAAGAGAUUUACCAAUAGUAUACCCUGAUCAAAACUUCUGAAUAUUAUACUAUAAUUAUCGCAAAUGUCCAUUGCUUUAGAAAAUUGUUACUUUUAUGAGAAAAAACACAUUCACUUUUAAAAUUAUGCUUUAAAAAUC